rnacentral:rRNA from 1 species
CGGAAGAGAUAAGUGCUGAAAGCAUCUAAGCACGAAACUUGCCCCGAGAUGAGUUCUCCCUGAGACUUUAAGUCUCCUGAAGGAACGUUAAAGACGAUGACGUUGAUAGGCCGGGUGUGUAAGCGCAGCGAUGCGUUGAGCUAACCGGUACUAAUGAACCGUGAGGCUUAACCUUACAACGCCGAAG